rnacentral:rRNA from 1 species
AGAGUUUGAUCCUGGCUCAGGACGAACGCUGGCGGCGUGCCUAAUACAUGCAAGUUGAACGCAACAAAGACACCAGAGCUUGCUCUACCGUCUUUGUUGAGUAGCGAACGGGUGAGUAACGCGUGGGUAACCUGCCUUAUAGCGGGGGAUAACUAUUGGAAACGAUAGCUAAUACCGCAUAACAAUAGAGAUUGCAUAAUCUUUAUUUGAAAGUGCCAACUGGUACACUAUGAGAUGGACCCGCGUUGUAUUAGCUAGUUGGUAGUGUAAUGGACUACCAAGGCGAUGAUACAUAGCCGACCUGAGAGGGUGAUCGGCCACAUUGGGACUGAGACACGGCCCAAACUCCUACGGGAGGCAGCAGUAGGGAAUCUUCGGCAAUGGACGAAAGUCUGACCGAGCAACGCCGCGUGAGUGAAGAAGGUUUUCGGAUCGUAAAACUCUGUUGUUAGAGAAGAAUGUUGAUUAGAGUGGAAAAUUAAUCAAGUGACGGUAUCUAACCAGAAAGGGACGGCUAACUACGUGCCAGCAGCCGCGGUAAUACGUAGGUCCCGAGCGUUGUCCGGAUUUAUUGGGCGUAAAGCGAGCGCAGGUGGUUUAAUAAGUCUGAUGUAAAAGGCAGUGGCUCAACCAUUGUGUGCAUUGGAAACUGUUAGACUUGAGUGCAGUAGAGGAGAGUGGAAUUCCAUGUGUAGCGGUGAAAUGCGUAGAUAUAUGGAGGAACACCGGUGGCGAAAGCGGCUCUCUGGACUGUCACUGACACUGANGCUCGAAAGCGUGGGUAGCAAACAGGAUUAGAUACCCUGGNAGUCCACGCCGUAAACGAUGAGUGCUAGUUGUUUGGGGCUAUCCAGCCCUAAGUGACGCAGCAAACGCAUUAAGCACUCCG